rnacentral:lncRNA from 1 species
CAUGAUUUAUGGAGUGAGUAAGAGCAAAAGGGAAGAUCUUGGUUAUCAUCAUAAACCUUACAAUCGAAAGACUAACAUCUUGAUGAAACCAUUAGAUCCUUUUUCUUUAAGCACUACUCAAAAGGGGUUGAAUGCUUACUUUAUACGUGUUGUUGAAAAUGGUAGAAUUUUGAACCAAUCAGAACCUAUUCAAGAUCUCAGACUCCAGUGUCAAAAGCUCUAAGAAAAUUAGAAC